rnacentral:sRNA from 1 species
AUGCCCAAUCGGAGAAGAAGAAGAUGAGAGCGAAUCAGAGGAAGAGAGAGGAAGAAACUGACCAACCAGGGGAAGGAAAGGAGGGAAAGGAGGGUGAGUGGUGCACGGGGGAACAGGAGGAACGGGUCACCCUUGACCCGCGCGACCCAAGCUUCCAAAUCGGCGGGUUUUCGCCAUUUUCGUCCAAUUUUCCGACGAAUUGAAUCAAGGACCUAGAACAAAGCCCAAGAGGUAAUUGAGGCGUUGGAACAAGUUUGAAGGUCGAAUUGGAAACACCCAAUUCUAGGGUUCUUCACGGUUUUGGUGAAAUUGAAGCACUUCCAGGCCAAAUUGGCCUUGGCCACAGGCACUGAUCAUCACGACGCCUUGAUGUACGGUGCUAGGGAGUUGUUGGGCGAACUCCAGGUUUAAGUUAGCAGAGCUUUGGUGGCCACGAGGAACCCAACGGCGUUUUGACAGAAUUCACAAAAGUAGGACUCACCUUUAGGGGUUUCCAUUUAGUAAUUGUAUUUUAGAGCUUCCGAACUGUGUAAAUGGUUACGUCACUCUCACGUGACGGCCAGCACGCCUUCUUCGGGACGGGGUGUGUCAGUGUGGUUUUUCUUUAAAAGUGAACGGUCCCAGGAAUGCUUUGUUAAAACUCCCUUUAUUUAUUGAAUCCGGAUCCUGUUUGUAAAGAUUCUAG